GAAGGUAUAGCUUAGUUGGUAAAGCAUCUGACUUUUAAUCAGAAGACCGAGAAUUCGAGUUUCUCUACCUUCA
rnacentral:tRNA from 1 species